rnacentral:rRNA from 1 species
GCUUGCUGGGUGGAUUAGUGGCGAACGGGUGAGUAACACGUGAGUAACCUGCCCCCGACUCUGGGAUAAGCCCGGGAAACUGGGUCUAAUACCGGAUAUUACCUCUUGCCGCAUGGCAGGUGGUGGAAAGAUUUAUCGGUGGGGGAUGGACUCGCGGCCUAUCAGCUUGUUGGUGAGGUAAUGGCUCACCAAGGCGACGACGGGUAGCCGGCCUGAGAGGGUGACCGGCCACACUGGGACUGAGACACGGCCCAGACUCCUACGGGAGGCAGCAGUGGGGAAUAUUGCACAAUGGGCGAAAGCCUGAUGCAGCGACGCCGCGUGAGGGAUGACGGCCUUCGGGUUGUAAACCUCUUUCAGUAGGGAAGAAGCGAAAGUGACGGUACCUGCAGAAGAAGCGCCGGCUAACUACGUGCCAGCAGCCGCGGUAAUACGUAGGGCGCAAGCGUUAUCCGGAUUUAUUGGGCGUAAAGAGCUCGUAGGCGGUUUGUCGCGUCUGCCGUGAAAGUCCGAGGCUCAACCUCGGAUCUGCGGUGGGUACGGGCAGACUAGAGUGAUGUAGGGGAGACUGGAAUUCCUGGUGUAGCGGUGAAAUGCGCAGAUAUCAGGAGGAACACCGAUGGCGAAGGCAGGUCUCUGGGCAUUUACUGACGCUGAGGAGCGAAAGCAUGGGGAGCGAACAGGAUUAGAUACCCUGGUAGUCCAUGCCGUAAACGUUGGGCACUAGGUGUGGGGGACAUUCCACGUUUUCCGCGCCGUAGCUAACGCAUUAAGUGCCCCGCCUGGGGAGUACGGCCGCAAGGCUAAAACUCAAA